rnacentral:rRNA from 1 species
UACGUAGGGCGCAAGCGUUAUCCGGAAUUACUGGGCGUAAAGGGCGCGUAGGCGGACAGUUUAGUCAGAGGUGAAAGCCCAGGGCUCAACCUUGGAAUUGCCUUUGAUACUGGCUGUCUUGAGUUCGGGAGAGGUGAGUGGAAUGCCGAGUGUAGAGGUGAAAUUCGUAGAUAUUCGGCGGAACACCAGUGGCGAAGGCGACUCACUGGCCCGAUACUGACGCUGAGGCGCGAAAGCGUGGGGAGCAAACAGG